UACGUAGGGUGCGAGCGUUGUCCGGAAUUACUGGGCGUAAAGAGCUCGUAGGUGGUUUGUCGCGUUGUUCGUGAAAACUCACAGCUCAACUGUGGGCGUGCGGGCGAUACGGGCAGACUGGAGUACUGCAGGGGAGACUGGAAUUCCUGGUGUAGCGGUGGAAUGCGCAGAUAUCAGGAGGAACACCGGUGGCGAAGGCGGGUCUC
rnacentral:rRNA from 1 species